rnacentral:lncRNA from 1 species
AGGUCACUUGAUAAAUGAUCAAAUGUAGUAUGUUAUUAAGUCGUUCUUUUGGGGCCAUUCAUGAGUGCCUUGAAGACCACAAUCAUUUCCGGGCUCCCAGUGGGGAGCCGUGUCUCCAUGAGGCAGGUAGAGAACCAACCUGAAGACCAUCCCACCACACACAAGGAUGAAACCUCGGUGCUCUGUCUAAAGCCAAGAUGUGUGUGCAUGCACUGUGUCCGUCCACGUCUACCCAAGGGCAUCGGCUGGCCAGAACUCUGCCUCCAUGACAGUCCACGAGCUUUGAGGGUAAAGAAUAUGACUUCUC